UAAUAGAUACUAGAUAGGCAGCUGUAGAAUAAAUACCUGAGCUGCUAGGAUUUCCCAGAGAAAACAACAGUGGCCAGCAAGCCCCAGAGAUGGUUUCUCAUCCCCAAGGUUGUGACAGGCUUGUCCCUACUCUGACAGCAGUGAGGUUCUGGUUCUCACUCCCACAGAAUGGAAUCCUGGCUGGCUCCGUGGGAAUGUGAAGGCGGGACAAGCAGGAACUACACACCCUACUGUCUAUUCUCAGAGUGUUUGCUUUGGACUGUCUACCCGCCAGUCUCUGUCCAAGGACUCUGUGAGCCGAAGAGAAGCUCAGCUCUAAUUUUGGACAAGUGAUCCAGUUUUGGCCAAUGAGAAGGUCAAUGGGAUCCCUCCUCCACAGACAACGAGCGGCUUUCCUUAGCUAUUCCAGAGAGACACACUUCUGUUGUUGUUUUGUUUUUCCAAAGAGACGGUCUCCUAACCAGUAAGCUGUCAGCCUGUUGAUGCCAAGAAAUGCCAUAUGGUGGAGAGCUAGCUCAGUUGAACAUUAAGCGGGCCUGAUGUGUCUCAGGUUGGCCUCUAAUCUGCCAAGGGUGGCUCUCGAUGCUCCCGCCUCUGCCUUCCAUGUAUCAGGAUUACAGGUCUCUGCCACCAUGCCUUGCUUUCUAGGUUUUUCUAAAUAACUGCUUUAUAUGGACACCAAAGCCAAGCAAAAAGUUUAGCUUUUUGUCAUAGUUUUCUGACUGGCUACAAACUCUAAACAUGCCUUAACCCCUACAAAGUUUAAACAUUGUUUAAAAAACAAACAAAAACAACUACAACAAAACCUCCUAUUUUUAUGGUUUGUUUUUGUAGUUUUAAGAAAGUUAGAAACCAGGGCAGAUUCAAUCAAGGCAGAACUUAGGGAACUCCAGCUCAUCUCUCAAUGCCGAAACGAAUGUAAAAGACCAUCUGUCCAGCACAAGAAGAAUUAUACCCCGGCAGAGACACUGGUGAGCAGAAGAGAAUCGAGGACUCGCGCAUGACAAGACCGGGGAUGCCAUUUGUUCCAGAGCUGCCAGCUCAUGUCUUCUUCAAAGCCCCUGCUAAAAGCUGAAGCCCUCUGAGGUAGGAAGCUGUGCACUGCCCGGCUGGCAGUUUCUGCCUCCUACGGAUAUCUGCGGGGCCACUCAGCCGAGUGUGAGACUUCGUGGAAAGAGAAGAUGAGUGGAAUUUCCCAGGCUUGGAAGGGUUAAGGCCUGAGUCAACCUACAGCAAAUAGCACACCCAGUGUGAGGUUCACGGGGUGAAGCAAGUUAUCUGUGACUCACAUCGCUGGAUACACUCUGUUCUAUAGAAUGUUGGUUAGCAACUUGCUAGCAAACAUCGUAUCCAAUGGCUGUUACCUAUAACAUUGUAAAGGGAGAGGCGGCCUACUCAUUUUGACUUAGCACCAGGUGAUGAUGUGUAUGUCAUACCCAAAGGGACUUGGGCUUUGACUCUGAAUAGGAUCCCAGUUUAUGGUGGGAUUCCACUCUCACACCAAGCAAGGAAGCCAGAGGAAGGACUCUUCCCCUUGCCCCCAGGCUGAAGAGCAAAGUGUGAAACCACCCAACAGUCUUUGGAAACAGGAAAAAGACAGAGAAAGGAAUCCAGCCCAAAGGUCCUCCUUCCUGGUUAUGCCUUGGCUUUUCCAGAGGCCCUGUGUGACUGCGCGCUGAGAAACUCGCAGGAUAUUGUGCUGGUUGGUGCUUUAAACUAAAACCUAACAGCAGCCACAGAUCCAAUUAAAAGAGCUUCCUUAGUACUUGUAAGUUAACAGGAAUGGGCCUGUAAGAGGGUGGGGCAGUGCGACUCUGGCUGGAAACUAGGUGUGAUGAGUCCCUGUUUGGUUGCUAGGUGAUGGGUUUUAUGUGGCAACAAUUCCUUUCCUCUAAAGAACUAGAGUGCUCAUUCUGCUUAAUGAAAGCGGAGUGCUUUUUCUUGGUACAAGAAGUACAUGCAGUUUACACGAAUUUUCGAUAGUAAACAGGGUCUAUGAAAGGGAAUACUAUUCUAUUCUUGAAUUCUUCUGUUUGAUUCACAUCACCACCAUAGAAAUUAUCUGCUAGAGGAGACAGGCUACCUCUUCCCCCUUGUUUGUCUUGUCUGGCUGUGGCCUGCAUGGGAUACAUUUUUCUCCGAGCUUUUAAAUCACCGCAUCUGCAUUGCCUUGAGCCUCUCGACAGUGAGGGCGAGCUUAUCUUAGGAGGUGACAGUGAAGCCCCUCACCCUGGGAUCAGGGUGCGUGUACUUCUUGUACCAUGACUCAGAGUCACUUAGGAAGAGGGAACCUCAGCUGGGAAGUGUUCCCACCAGACUGGCCUAACAGCAAUCUGUGGGGCAUUUUUCUUGAUUAAUGAUUGGUGUGGGAAGGUCCAGCUCACUGUGGGUGGUGCCACCCCAGGCUGGUGGUCCUGCAUGCUAUAAGCAAGCAGAUUGAGCAAGCCAUUAAGCAGCACUCCUCCAUGGCCUCUGCAUCGGCUUCUGCCUCCAUGUUCCUGCCCUGAUUUCCUUGACAAUGGAUUUAUAAACUAUAAGAUGAAACAAAUCCUUUCCACCCUAAGUUGCUUUUGGUCAUGGUGUUUCAUCACAGCAAUGGGAACCCUAACUAAGACCAGCCUACAGAGAUAAUGUGUGUUUGCCUAAGGGUAUCCAAAGGAGUCUGUUCAAAACACUGGAGCCAUUCCUACUUUAGGAGAACUUUGUGGCUUAGAGUUUAAUUGUAUUAGUGCUAUGUGCUCUAGGUUAGGGUUACAUCACUAAACAUAAACCGUACUCUUGACGAAAACCACUUUACAGUUUCAUUUACAGAAAGGAACUAAGGGAAGAAACAUAGUUAAGACAACUCUUAUUAUUUUCACUUAAUCUUUAAACUUUAAGCUUGGCUUAAUCUUUAAACCUUGUAAUUUACAUCCUUUGAGGAAUGUAACUUUGAAAGCCCCAGGAUCAGAGGGGUGAGAUGGAUCAGGAAAUAAUGGCUCUUGCCGCUAACCCCAGAGACCUGAGUUUCAUCCCCAAGUCCCAUAUAUAGUGUGGAAGGAGGGAUCUGUGUUCUGCAAGUUGUCCUCUGACCUCCACAUGUGGCAGGGCUGUACUCAAGCAUACACACAACUAACUAUGUAAGUAAACAAAUAAAGGUAACUAAAUACCUAAUAGAUAAUUUAAUUUAGAAGAAUGAAACACCACAAUAAAUUACAGCCAUCAUAAAGACACCUAAGCAUGACUCUCUUGAAGCUCACACCCAUUUCUUGGGGUUGUUUAUUAUCCAUUCCCUAUGUGUCACCCUGUCUAAACAAUAAAUUCUCUUAUCUUUUUCUGAGUGAAGGUCCCUAAGGGGGAUGGGGACUCUUCAAGCUGCUGGUAUCUGUGCUGGGCUAUGUCUCUCUGCUGCCACUAAUUUCUUCUCUUGUUGCUUUUAAAUUAUAUUUAUUUGUUUGUUUGUUUAUAUAUUUAUUUCAUGUGUGUCCAUAUGUGUAUGUGCUUGUUUAUUUUGUGUGCAUUUGUGUGUGUGGUUAUUUAUUUAUUAUGUGUGUAUAUUUAUUUAUUCUGUGUGUGUUCGGGUGUAUAGUUAUUUAUUCAUUUAUUUCUUCCUUUAUGCUGUAUGUGUUUGAGUGUGUAUUUAUUUUUUAAUUUAUUUUGUGUGUGACUGUGUAACUAUCUAUCUAUCUAUCUAUCAUCUAUCUAUGUGUGUUUGUGACUAUCUAUCUAUCUAUCUAUCUAUCUAUCUAUCUAUCUACCUACCUAUCUACCUACUUAUCUAUGUUGGUUGUGUUCACGUGUGCAGCAGAGGAUAAUUUGCAGGCAUGCAUCCUCUCCACCUACCACAUAGUUCCAGGGAUUGGAUUCACAUCGCCAGCCUUGGCAUCCUCUCUCACUGAACCAUCUCUUGGACCCUCUUUGAUGAUUUUUAUCUCAGUAUAAAAUGGUACAUACUAUUGUUAAUCUCUGUACUACAUCUUCAAGUCCUUACAACCUUAACAUCCUCUAACAUAGCAGUUGGCACAUAGAGAGGUGGUAUAAUUAUUGGAGAACUGAAAGAGAGGAAGCACAAAUGAUUGGUAUGAUGUGUGUGUUCCAGUUCCAAGGAUUUGUUUUAACUGAUCCGAGACUCUGAGUGGGUGAUUGGUAUUACAAGAAGACAAAUCUUUCCACAGACUUAACUUAGGGUCCUGUCUUACUCUGCCUUCAUGAAACUAUACAUUUAAAUAGAAAUAUCAGUAGAAACAUCUCAGGUAUUCAGAACAUGGAUAUCUUCUUAGGUUUAGGUUUAUGAAAUUAAUUUGUAAGUAGGAAGUUUUAGGCUAUGGAUAUAUUGCAGUGAUAGACUACCUACUCAGCUAACGUGCAAGCCCUGGGCUCCAUUCCCAGCACCACACACACAUAAGGGAAGCAUGCAGGCCCCCAAGCCAGUCCAUAGGGUCGCCAUCUUUCCCUCAGGCCCUGUGUGUGUUUCCUGGAGCAGAGCUUAGCCACUCUGCUCAUCAUCUGGAAAGAUGUCAGCAGAGCAGGAAGGAAGAUGUGAGCAGCUCUUACUUCCUUUCCACUGUGUAGGGAAAUCUGUGGAUGAACUUUGCCUUCUGGGCCUCAGAGAAUGAAAAUACAUGCUCUGACAGGGUAUUGGUGGACUAUGGGACUUGGGUUUAUAUCUCCCAAGAGUGAAGGUUAACAGUCAUAGAGGGUUCUAAGCUCUUUCCUGAAUCCUUCUGACUCUCACUACGUACCACAGGGUGUGUGUGUGUGCUUCUACUAUAUUUUUAUAGAUGAAGAACAAAUAAUAAGUUCUUAUAGACACUGUAUGUGGUAGCUGAGUUUGGGUUCUAGACUGGCAAGGUUCAGAAUUUAAAUUCCUAACACUUUUAGGACUUUGCCUCUCCAAUCAAGAAGGAAAAAGGAGUGCUGACUCAGAAUGGUCAUCAAGACACCGCCUUUUGUAAGUGUGCUCUCCUUGGCUUUGUCCAGGGAUGAGCCUGAUGGUUCACAUGACCCCAAGGCUCAAAGGUCUUGCAACCACAAGGCAGCGCAGAUGCCCAGCUCAGCCCCAGAACUCACCUUGUCUUGAUCUGAAAUGGUACCAAGGUGGAUAUUACCUUCUCUGGGCUUGACUUGAGACCCACCCCUGCAUACUCAUAUCCUCAAAGCCAGGGAUUGAACUUCAUCAGGGGCCAUAAAAGGUACUGUGAAGCCAACUGUACCAACCAAGAGUCCAGCUCCUGGAAGGGCAAGCCUGGGGCUGCACCCGGGGAGAGGAACUGGCAAUCAUUAAAGGGAGCAUUCUAUUCUCUGCCCUUGCUGAAGACUGCCAGAAAUACAGAAGAUCCUACUGCAAGGGAAGGAGGGGGUGGGGCGUUGGAGGCAUGGGGGACUGGGGGACUGGGGGAUUGGGGAGUGUUCAGGCACAUAAUACAUCCCCCCAAAACACACACACUUACACACAUCAUUAACAGUACAGCACACUCUCUCUACAGGUGCACUCUGUAUAUCACACACUCACACACUCUAUGCCCCCCAUCACUUUCCUUUAUCAGCAAACCCUUCUGGAGGCAUGGACACCAGCAUUCCAGAGAGAGCACAACUCGCUCCCCUGCCUGCAGAAGGCCUAACUCCCACACUAAAUCACAGCAACUGCCAAAGAGCAGUCGGUGGGCCCCACCCUUCUCGCAGGAAGUGAGAAAGAGCAAAUAGCUAGUUUUUCUUUAAGAGCUGGUGCACAAGUUAAAUAAGUGAUUAAAGGAGAGAGAGAGAGAGAGAGAGAGAGAGAGAGAGAGAGAGAGAGCUGUUUAAGAGGUAGUGACAGCUCUGGAGAAGCACAAUGGGGCAGGGACCAGGCAGCAGCCUGGCAGAGACCACAGGAUUCCCAUAAAGUCUUUUAUACAAAGCUCUGAAAUUCCAGAGCCCGCAGGAGGUGGCUCCCUCUUCGGUUCAGUGGGGCUGUGCUGCCAAGAAUGUACUGCGCCUUCAGUGCCCCUGGGACACCUGAGCUGUGGGUCAAGAAGGUUGGCCUUAGGGAAGAUUCCAGGAUAAGGCCUGGGCUCCUUUGGCAUUAAGAAAAUCAGAGUGUGACAUCUUCCAUGAACCUGGGGUUGUACUUCAGAGGGCCCCGGCCAUAAACAAAAAUAAUAAUAAAAAAAAAAAAAAAAAAAAAGGCUGGUCUCUGAGCUGUGCCUUCAGGACAUAGAGUAAAGUGGAACCUGAGAGGCCUGGUUGACAGCAUGCCACCAUCUAUGUAGCUGGGAUCUAUCACUCUGAGGGUGGGGACCUCCUGCUGCUCUAGCCAGUGUGCAAUCAUGGAACACUUGGGAUUCACAGAAAAAGAACUUCCACUUAGGGUUCCUUAAAAACAAAAGCAAGCAAACAAACAGAACCCAAGAAGCUACAAGCAGAUGGUUUCAGAACCAGAGGAUUGGUAGUUCAGGGCUCUGGUGUAUAGGAAAACGGACUUCUGUGUAUGAGGUGUGUCGGUCCUUUCUGGAGUCCUGUUAAAAUGUGGGUUUCAGGGCUGGGGAGAUGGCUUAUGCAGUAAACUGCUUGUUGGGCAAGCAUGAGAACCAGAACAUGAGCCCCAGAACCUGUGUGAAAAGCGACAUUCAAUACCAUGGGUCUGCAACUCCAGGGGCUGGGGAAGUGGGGACAGCGGGAUCUAUAGGGCUCAGCCAGCCUAGUCUAAUGGGCUAGCUCUAGGUAAAUGUGAAAGGCCAUGUCUUAAGACACAAGGCAGAGGGGAUGGAGAGAUGGCUUAGUAGUUAAGACGUUGCUCUAACAGAAGACCUGAGUUAGGUUUCUAGCACCUAUGUUGGCUGGCUCACAACUGCCUGUAAUUCCAGCUCCAGGGGAUCUAACACCUCUGGCCUCUGGGUGCAUCUACACACACACACACACACACACACACACACACACACACACACACACAAACAUUUAUCCCAACUCUCAGGAGGCAGAUGCAAGCAAAUACAGAUUUUGAGGCAGGGACAUAGUGCGAUCCUGUCUUAAAACAUCAAUAGUAACACAAAUAUUUAAGGAACAAAAUGGACAACAAUUGAAGAAGAUAUUGGAGACUGACCUGUGGCCUCCAUACACACGCGUACACAUGUACACAUACAUGUCGUACAUACCAAGAUAUAUGUAUUUCACAAAGGGUCUAGUAACUCCAUCAUGCAAUGCCAAGGCUUUGAGCCUUGGACUCGUCUUUGAGUAUCAAAGGGCUCAAGGAGGACCGGGGAGGGUUUGAUCAGUGAGUGCUGCGGUGCCUGGGAAGGCUUCCACAGGAGGGGUUGUAUUGUACCCUGCUAUAAGACUGUAUUACGAGGGCUGGAGAGAUGGCUAUCCUGUGUAGUAGGUUUGAGGCCAACUUGAGCUGCCUGAGACACUGCCUUAAAAAACAAAAUCAAAACAAAUCAACCAACCAAUACACACAGAACAAAAGGCCACAAAACAAUCUAAGUUGCUCUGUCCUGGACAGGACUCCUUAGCGGUGAGCUAUCUAAUGUCUUUUCCCAGCUUGACCCCUCUGCAAGACAGCAAGAACCAGCUAGCUUCAUGACUAGGGUGCUGAGGGGCUGGCAACAGAAGGGCAGGCAGACAGACGCAAUCUCACAAACAUCCCCUCUGACAGAUAACCAGCCCAGAAGGUAUCAGGCAACACCGAGUACCAGCUGGGCCCUGCCGGGGAGGAGCAGCCAGACUGUUGAAGGCAUGACAGGAAUCUAAACAGAAGUGACUUAUUUCCCCAACUUGCUGGCAUGUUUUCAUCCCUACAUUUUUCUUCCUGUUCAGGAGGGCAAGGCAAAUGAUCUUUCGGUCACUUGGCAAUGUUCCAUAUUUUUUUUUAAAUGUAUUUGUACCUGAAACUGUGAGUCUGUUGGGUGGAUGGCAGUGUCCAAAGUUUCUCCUUCUUUUAUUCCUUGAUUGUAUGUGUGUGCACGUGGAGGUUAGAGGUUAACCUUGGAUGUCCUGCCUUGGGGGCCAUUCACCUGUUUAUUUUAAUUGUUGAUAUUUAUUUUGAUGUUGAAAACCAAAUAGGUAAUAUAAUGCUUAAUAGGUUUUAAAUUU